rnacentral:misc_RNA from 1 species
GCAAACUUGGUCAUUUAGAGGAAGUAAAAGUCGUAACAAGGUUUCCGUAGGUGAACCUGCGGAAGGAUCAUUACAAAAUAUAUUUGUAAACCCUUCGUGCGCGCAUUAGCGUGUGCGAAACCACUCUGUGUGAAUAGUACACACGUAUACUUUGGCAGGUUUUGAGUUUUUACGAGCUCUUGACCUUUAAUGGAGACCUGCCAAAGUCCAUUACUUGAUAAACCUUUUUAUAUGUGAAAUUUUAAAUACUACAUAUAUAAAAAUAUAAUACAACUUUCAGCAACGGAUCUCUUGGCUCUCGCAUCGAUGAAGAACGCAGC